AUACGGAGGGUGCAAGCGUUAUUCGGGAUCACUGGGCGUAAAGGACGCGUAGGCGGGUUGGCAAGUCAGAUGUGAAAUCCUACAGCUUAACUGUAGAACUGCAUUUGAAACUGCUAACCUAGAGUAUGGGAGGGGGAGAUGGAAUUAGUGGUGUAGGGGUAAAAUCCGUAGAUAUCACUAGGAAUACCGAAAGCGAAGGCGAUCUCCUGGAACAUAACUGACGCUAAGGCGUGAAAGCGUGGGGAGCAAACAGGAUUAGAAACCCUAGUAGUCC
rnacentral:rRNA from 1 species